rnacentral:rRNA from 1 species
UACGUAGGGGGCUAGCGUUGUCCGGAAUCAUUGGGCGUAAAGCGCGUGUAGGCGGCCCGAUAAGUCCGCUGUGAAAGUCCAGGGCUCAACCCUGGGAUGCCGGUGGAUACUGUCGGGCUCGAGUCCGGAAGAGGCGAGUGGAAUUCCUGGUGUAGCGGUGAAAUGCGCAGAUAUCAGGAGGAACACCAAUGGCGAAGGCAGCUCGCUGGGACGUGACUGACGCUGAGACACGAAAGCGUGGGGAGCAAACAGG